UACGAAGGGGGCUAGCGUUGCUCGGAAUCACUGGGCGUAAAGGGUGCGUAGGCGGGUUUUUAAGUCAGGGGUGAAAUCCUGGAGCUCAACUCCAGAACUGCCUUCGAUACUGGAGAGCUUGAGUCCGGGAGAGGUGAGUGGAACUGCGAGUGUAGAGGUGAAAUUCGUAGAUAUUCGCAAGAACACCAGUGGCGAAGGCGGCUCACUGGCCCGGUACUGACGCUGAGGUGCGAAAGCGUGGGGAGCAAAGCAGG
rnacentral:rRNA from 1 species